UGCAGCUUUCAAAGUCUACACGGUGACGUCUGCAGACAUGGUGCAGAAUCACAUCAACUCUCCAGACCACCUCUCAAACACAAAGGGUGGCAGCCUGUUGGAGGGAAAUUAUUGAAAAUACCAGAUGUUCUUCAGCUGAGCUCCACAUUUCAACACCACACAGACUUUCUUCAAAAUGCAUUUUCUUGGUUUUUGUACUACUUUUAUUUGUAAUUUACAGGUCAAAAGAUUUUUUUUAUUUUUUAUUUUUAUUCCAUGACAUGAAUACAAAAAUGAUUAGAAAAGUCAACAUGUUUCUUUGCUUUUUUUUAUUUAGAACACAAAUGUUUUUACGCAUUUUAUCGAUGUGAUAUAGUACAUUUAAAAUUAAUUUAUUUCAAAACAGUAUAUUUAAACAUUACAUAGAAGUGACAUGUAGGAAGGGCAUGAUCAACUGUGCGUGUUAUGACUUUGUUUUUUUGUUUUCUUUUUUACCCCAUCCUCUCAGCUUUUAAUUAUGUAUUAGAAACAAUGCAGUUAUUGAAAUACUAUAAAACAUGAUCUAUUCAUAAAAGGUUGCAAACUU